GAGCGGGGUAAAGCCAGAG
rnacentral:snRNA from 1 species